CGUGUCUUGAAGAAUUAUUUUUUUAAAAUUUAUUUCACAGCUAUAAAUGUUUCAAAACUAUUCAAGGUGAUAAGGUGAAAAAGAAUAUGCAUUUUUAUUACUCCAUAAUUCACCAAAAUGUAAUUUUACAAGUACCAUAUUUCUUGACGCACACUGACAUGUAGUCAUGGCUACAAUGACAUCUCAAUGAUGACAUCAUGUUUGAUAAAAUGUGGAAGCAAGAAACAUGAGAGUCAUGUGUGAAAGAAUACCCUGGGCAAACAGAGUUUAAGGCUUAAAUAUUGUAAAAAAAAAAAAAAAAGUAAACUAUCUAUUUCAGUCUUCCU